rnacentral:rRNA from 1 species
CUGUGGUAUUUUGACUAUACAAAGGUAUUGUAAUAAGAUUUUAAUUGAAUGCUAAAAGAAUGGAAAAUUAAAAAAAAACUUUUUUAAAAAUAAAAAUUGAAUUUUUUUUAAUUUGUGCAAAAACAAUUAUAUUUAUUAAAGACAAGAAGACCCUAAGAAUUUAAGAUUUUACAAUUAAAAAGUUUUUUUUUAAAAUCUUGAUUGGGGCGAUCAAAAAAUAUUAAUAACUUUUUAAAAUUUAAAUUGAUCUAUUAUUAAUAAACUAAUGAAUUAAAUACUCUAGGGAUAACAGCGUAAUAAUUUUUGAUAGAUCUUAUUGACAAAAUAGUUUGCGACCUCGAUGUUGGAUUAGGAUUCUUUUUUAAUGAAGAAGUUAAAAAAAGAAGUUUGUUCAACUUUUAAAUUCCUACAUGAUC